rnacentral:lncRNA from 1 species
GGCAGAACAGUCCAAAAACAGAUGCUAAAGCCCCCUACACAGAGCCUCAGUGCUUCGAUCUGAUAGACAACAGGUCUGUGUUCCACCUGUGUGCCUGAAGAAGUGUGACGAGACUGUUGGAUACCCUGGGACUUGUGAGCCACCAUGGCCUGAAUUUAGAGGGGGGAUGCCCAUCCCCCACUUUGCCAGGAUCUCAUCAGGAAGACAAGCUCAGCUGCUCAGCGGUUUUGGCUUCUUGCAGGAAGCUGCAGAUGGGGCACACAGUAGACUUCACCUAGGUCAGAAGACUCCACCCUAGUCUCCCCUCCCCCAGCCUGAAACCUGCUUACUCAGGGGUGGAGCUUGCCGCUCAAUCGUUCUGCCACGCCCACUGCUGGAGCUUGCCGCUUUGCUGUUUCGAAGCCAUCACGUGUUCACCUGCAACCUUACUCCUAGAUUAUUUGGCGGGAAUCGGCCCCUCCCCCUUCCUUCAUAACGGAGUGCUGGAAUAGUAAAAAUUGAACCUUGAGC